rnacentral:rRNA from 1 species
UACGGAGGAUCCGAGCGUUAUCCGGAUUUAUUGGGUUUAAAGGGUGCGCAGGCGGAAUAUUAAGUCAGCGGUGAAAGUUUGCAGCUUAACUGUAAAAUUGCCGUUGAAACUGGUUUUCUUGAGUGUAUAUGAAGUAGGCGGAAUUUGUGGUGUAGCGGUGAAAUGCAUAGAUAUCACAAGGAACUCCGAUUGCGAAGGCAGCUCACUAAAAUACAACUGACGCUCAGGCACGAAGGCGUGGGGAUCAAACAGGAUUAGAUACCCUGGUA